rnacentral:tRNA from 1 species
GCCGGUAUAGCUCAGUUGGUAGAGCAUCUGAUUUGUAAUCAGAGGGUCGGGAGUUCGAGUCUCUCUGCCGGCACCA